ensembl:lncRNA
AUGGCCAACCAAAGGGGAGUGAGCUCCUGCAUCUCUUUUGCCUUCAGCUGUUCCAUUCACACGGCUGCCAGCCCGGAUAACACCAUGAUUAGAGACCCUCGGGGUGUGGAGAACCUUCCUUGUUCACCAGGGAGGCAGAGCUGGGUCAGCAUUCAUCUCCCCAGACAUGAGCAGAGCUCCCUGGCAGAUGGAGGUGAGGUUGGAGAAUCAGCCCACGUCCACCUCACCCCAUCCUUGGAGCAACAGCCUGGAUCUGCUGUGCACCUGGAGGGAGGAAGGGGUGCAGGCAGGGUGUGUAAAUUGAUUACAGAGCGAGUUUGUUUGGGUUUGUUCCUGUCUCUUGCUAUCAAACCAGAACCUCUUGGGAGUGACCGAUCCCGAGCGGGUGUGAGGGAUGAUGUGGUGCAAGCAGGAGUCAGUCAGCGGGAGGUUUUCCUUCAGCCAAGCAGAUACACACGUAGCUGGAUGGUAGGAGUCUAAGGACAGAGAGCUGGCUUGGAGGGAAGUGGUUAUGAGUGAUGGGCAAUCCUGCCUGGACAUGCGCACAUGAGAGGAAGAAGAAGCUGUUUAACAGAGAAAAACAAAAAAAGUAUCAAAAUGAACUGGUGUGAUGCUGUACUGUUACUGAAGUCAGAGGAAUACCACAGGGGAAAUCUGAGACUCACCCUGUUUCUUUUCGAUGUUUUCAGGGCUGUGUUUUUGGUUUGUUAUGGUUGUUUUCCAUGGUUGUUAUUUUAUUUCUUCUUGCUGGUACGGAGUUUUUCAUCUGUAUAUUAUAUAUAUAUAUUUUUCGAGAAAAACUUGAACACCUCAGAGACACUGAGAAUGAAACACUUAGGGGAAAUGGGAAGUGCCAGGAGAUUGGUGUCUUAACCCUUUCCAACUUCUCAUUUAGGCAUUUCUGCUUUCUCUCCACCCUCUUCUUUCCCCCAUGCCCAGGAUUUGAAAGAAAAUCUGCAUUUUGCUUCUCUUUCAUCUCCUCUUUAUUCUUUUGUCUUUCUGUUUCUCUUUAUUUUGGUGUUUGAGCUGGAUUUGCUUUUUUGCUUGGAAAAUGUGCCAGAAUUGUGAUGUAAAUGUGUGGGCUUCCUCCCCUGUCCCCUUCAGUGUCCUUCCCAUUUCCAACCAGUGUCCCAGAAUCCCCCAGUCUAUGAGAAGUCUUGGCAUCUUUAUUCCCAGCCUCACCUGUUGAGCUAACUAUUUUUUAAGUGCAUGUAAAAUACAACUAAAAACAAAGACACAAGCAGAAGAAUGAGCCCUACUACAACACGGAUGCUUUAUUUUCCUUUGAUUUCUUUUCCCCCCACCUCCCUUUCAACACUUGACCAAAAAUUCCUGAUAAUUAAGGAGUGUCCCACACUGGUUUUCAAACCCCAUGGAGAGAACUGGAGCCAAAGUUCCUCGAAGCCCAUGGACAGACUUCAAAUAUACAGAAUAUUCCAGAUGAUAGGCUGAUCAUUACGGGCAUUUCUCAAACACUGCAAUCAAAUAAUUAAUGCUGACACCUGCAGCACCAUCAGAAACAGGAGAAAGGGAACUCAUGAAGACUCUCUGAAGUUCUAUGGAGAGAGCCAAGAUUAUUUCUUCACUUCAGGGUUUGCUUUGGGGCUUUGCUAUUGGGUUAGAAGAAUGAAGUGUGAACAGCCCCUCUGCAAACACCUCAUGUCCUCCCUGUGAGUGGGACUCAGCUAUCAGUGGCAGUGAUCUGAGACCUGAUCCAUCACGUCAUGUGCUGGUGGAGACUGAGCCUUCCAGGGAACACCAGUGUGGGGAAAUGUCUGGAAUGAGGUGUUGGAGAUUGUUUGCCCUCCAACAGACAGCACAGGAGAACCAUCGAGGAGAAAUUCAGCCACCUUCCUCUCCUAGCACAGAAUCAUGAAUCAUUUAGGUUGGAAAAGAUCUCAAAGAUCACAGAGUCUGCAUGUUAAACCAUGCCUCCAGCCCUUCUCUUCCCACUCUUCAUCCUGUCCUGAACAUAUCCAAAGGUUUGGUCCAAGCCAGCACAUACCAGCCUUGCUCCAUUAGAUAAGAGGGCUAUGCCAAUUUUCAUCCUUGUAAAAAUACCACUGCACUUGUUUUACCUUGCAUCUUUGACACUAAAGACCAUAGAAUUUAUUGGGUCACGAAGAAAAUUUACCAGUAGAAUUUCAUUUGGUAAUUGCUUAGAUUGAAAAAAUAUUACCAAAGUUUGCCGAUCUUGUGCAUUCACCCACAGGAAAAUGUUUGUUUUGAAGGGAAUGAGACCAAGCAGAUCAGAUAAUUGUAAUUAUUUUUAAUAGUGCUGUUGAAAGCCAAUAGAUCAAAUGUGAAGAGUCCAGUCAGUGGUCAGCCUUUCUGUUGAGUCCCCUCUGAAUUUCCUGGAGUCUGGGAUGCCUGUGAAGUAAAAACCCAAGCACAUCACAGCCAAUAUCAGAAGGACAAUUGUUCAGAACUAAAUCAAAACAUGGAAUGUAGAUCUGUCCUUCUCCAAGGCUUUAACAAAGUGCUUUGGGAAGAGACACUGCUAUGUGGGAGAAUCUUCCAAAAGAGGAGAAAUGAAAAUAUAAGUAGUGAGAGUUGUCCUCCAGGGCAGGUGGAGGUUUUGGGAUGUCCUAACUCCUGCCAUCCAAACUUGGUGUGCUGUGGAGCAGGAAAUUGGUGAAACACAUGAACCUCAAUAUCAUGGUGUGGACCUCCACCUCCUGCUCAUUCCCAGUCUGAAUUUUCCUGCUUUGCACCUGGUGCAGCUCCCAUUUCAGGGUAGUGUUUGGUGCAUGGAAUCCUGCAGUUUUUCCUCACCUCUGUGACUGUGCAAAGCCCCUUUCUCCAAAAAAAUCUUGUUGUCUUACUGGGAAUAACUACUUUGUGGAGAAUGCUUUGAAAAUAGAGCUUGUCAACCAUGUUUUAUUUGGGGUGGCUCAGUUCUCUCCACUUGGAGAAGCACCCAAGGGGACACAGUCUUACAGCAAAAAAAAUUAAUUUGUAGAAAGAUGUCAAAAAAAAAAGUCUAAAAAAACCCCAAACAAACAGAAUUUACACUUGGAAAAAUAAAGCCACCAAAAACCCCA